GACGAACGCUGGCGGCGUGCUUAACACAUGCCAGUCGAACGGAAAGGCCCUGCUUUUGUGGGGUGCUCGAGUGGCGAACGGGUGAGUAACACGUGAGUAACCUGCCCUUGACUUUGGGAUAACUUCAGGAAACUGGGGCUAAUACCGGAUAGGAGCGCCUGCUGCAUGAUGGGGGUUGGAAAGUUUCGGCGGUUGGGGAUGGACUCGCGGCUUAUCAGCUUGUUGGUGGGGUAGUGGCUUACCAAGGCUUUGACGGGUAGCCGGCCUGGGAGGGUGACCGGCGACAUUGGGACUGAGGUACGGCCCAGACUCCUACGGGAGGCAGCAGUGGGGAAUAUUGCACAAUGGGCGGAAGCCUGAUGCAGCAACGCUGCGUGCGGGAUGACGGCCUUCGGGUUGUAAACCGCUUUCGCCUGUGACGAAGCGUGAGUGACGGUAAUGGGUAAAGAAGCACCGGCUAACUACGUG
rnacentral:rRNA from 1 species